rnacentral:rRNA from 1 species
GACGAACGCUGGCGGCGUGCUUAACACAUGCAAGUCGAACGGAAAGGCCCUGCUUUUGUGGGGUGCUCGAGUGGCGAACGGGUGAGUAACACGUGAGUAACCUGCCCUUGACUUUGGGAUAACUUCAGGAAACUGGGGCUAAUACCGGAUAGGAGCUCCUGCUGCAUGGUGGGGGUUGGAAAGUUUCGGCGGUUGGGGAUGGACUCGCGGCUUAUCAGCUUGUUGGUGGGGUAGUGGCUUACCAAGGCUUUGACGGGUAGCCGGCCUGGGAGGGUGACCGGCCACAUUGGGACUGAGAUACGGCCCAGACUCCUACGGGAGGCAGCGGUGGGGAGUAUUGCACAAUGGGCGGGAGCCUGAUGCGACAACGCCGCGUGCGGGAUGACGGCCUUCGGGUUGUGAACCGCUUUUGCCUGUGACGAGGCGUGAGUGACGGUAAUGGGUAAAGAAGCACCGGCUAACUACGUG